rnacentral:lncRNA from 12 species
AUUUUUCUGAGAGAUUGAGAAAGAAGGCAAAAAAUACUGGUGUGAGCAACCUCCUCUGCAAGCAACAGCUGAAAACCUGGGGUGUGUGGAAGGAGACAAAGAUGGGCAGGUGCAGACUGCUCUGUGCUGGCCACUCUGGGGCAUACAAAUAACAGUGCUGGAGCCUGACACAGUGGGUGACCGGCAGUAACUCGCUGUGGACCCGACCCAAAGGCUUUUCCCGGGCAGGGCAGGCAGCCCUGCAAGCCCCCACGCCAUCCUGCUGGCCAGGGCUGACAGCUGACAUCCUCCCUGCCUCUGCCAACUGCUCG